UACGAAGGGUGCAAGCGUUACUCGGAAUUACUGGGCGUAAAGCGUGCGUAGGUGGUUUCUUAAGUCUGCUGUGAAAGCCCCGGGCUCAACCUGGGAAUUGCAGUGGAUACUGGGGAGCUAGAGUGCGGUAGAGGGUAGUGGAAUUCCCGGUGUAGCGGUGAAAUGCGUAGAGAUCGGGAGGAACACCAGUGGCGAAGGCGGCUACCUGGACCAGCACUGACACUGAGACGCGAAAGCGUGGGGAGCGAACAGG
rnacentral:rRNA from 1 species